UACAGAGGGGGCAAGCGUUGUUCGGAAUUACUGGGCGUAAAGCGCGCGUAGGCGGUGAUCCAUGUCAGAGGUGAAAGCCUGGAGCUCAACUCCAGAAUUGCCUUUGAAACGGGAUCGCUAGAGUCCGAGAGAGGAUGGCGGAAUUCCUAGUGUAGAGGUGAAAUUCGUAGAUAUUAGGAAGAACACCGGUGGCGAAGGCGGCCAUCUGGCUCGGUACUGACGCUGAGGUGCGAAAGCGUGGGGAGCAAACAGG
rnacentral:rRNA from 1 species